CAGCGCCACAAGUGGGAGCCAUGUUUAUUGGGCCUAAAGCGUCCGUAGCCGGUCCGGUAAAUCUUCUGUGAAAUUGUCUGGCUUAACCAGACAGCGUGCAGGAGACACUGCCGGACUCGAGACCGGGAGGGGUCAGAAGUAUUCCUAGGGGAGCGGUAAAAUGCUAUAAUCCUAGGAAGACUACCUGUGGCGAAGGCGUCUGACUAGAACGGUUCUGACGGUGAGGGACGAAAGCUAGGGGAGCGAACCGGAUUAGAUACCCGAGUAGUCC
rnacentral:rRNA from 1 species